AGAGUUUGAUCCUGGCUCAGGAUGAACGCUAGCGGCAGGCUUAAUACAUGCAAGUCGAGGGGCAGCACAGGUAGCAAUACUGGGUGGCGACCGGCAAACGGGUGCGGAACACGUACGCAACCUUCCUUUAAGUGAGGAAUAGCCCAGGGAAACUUGGAUUUAAUACCUCGUAAUAUUUUUGGGUGGCAUCACCUGAUAAUUAUAGCUCCGGCGCUUAAAGAUGGGCGUGCGCCUGAUUAGGUAGUUGGCGGGGUAACGGCCCACCAAGCCUACGAUCAGUAACUGGUGUGAGAGCACGACCAGUCACACGGGCACUGAGACACGGGCCCGACUCCUACGGGAGGCAGCAGUAAGGAAUAUUGGUCAAUGGACGCAAGUCUGAACCAGCCAUGCCGCGUGGAGGAUGACUGCCCUCUGGGUUGUAAACUCCUUUUAUCUGGGAAGAAAUGCAUUUUUCUAAAGUGUUUGACGGUACCAGAGGAAUAAGCACCGGCUAACUCCGUG
rnacentral:rRNA from 1 species